UUUUUUCCUGCUGUGAUCGCAGAGGGAGCCUCGACUUUGACAAAGGGACGAACAAACUGAGCAUGUCCUCAACUCCUCAGCAGAACUUCUCCAGACAGAUGAGAGAAUCCAAACCCAGACCAAACAACGUACGAAUCUCUGGCACAGCGAACGAGCAGGAGGAGGAAACAUGUGCUCGCACUAAUGACAGUGUCAGGAUUGUCCUUGCUGGGGGAAGGAGGCGUGUCAAGGUGUGCUUCACUUCACAGAUUCACAGAUGACCACAUCAGACACGGCAGACCUCGGCUAAGUGACUGAACUCGGAGAGAGUCCAGACAUUAACCUUCAUCGAAACAUUAUGAGCAAAGACACUACGUUUUAAAUUUGACUUCCAGGAGAAAUAAAGAGUUUCUCUUCCUCUGACUGUCUGUCCCUGUUUUAGUUUUGCAGAGUUGUGACUGGCUGGGCUGGAGCUCAAUCAGGGAUAAAAGAUCUCAAAUGUACAGGUACAUGUGGAGCUGAUGAUGGGUUUCCAUGGAGACUUAAGUGGUAGUAGAAGGAUAAGUGCAGUAAAGCAAAAGCCAGGUCCAAAUGACAGGUGAAUCUGUGUUUCAGUUCUAUUCAAAAUGUUCGGUCAGGUGCACUCUGCACUGAUGUCAGGUAUAUCUAGUUGUGUGUAGAAAAGCCUUUAUAUAAUAAAAACUGGGCCAUAAAAUAUGCCCCCGCAGCCCCCGCAUGGAUUAGGGGAGGUGUCCCGCCCAUGCCUGUCAAAAUGUUUUUUAUACAUGUAUGCUUCAUAUAAAUACACAUGGGGUGCAUGUGAUGAUACUGUCUGUAUUUUCAGUGUAAAAAAUAAAUAUAUAUAUAUUUUUUAAUUUA